rnacentral:rRNA from 1 species
CCUACGGGUGGCAGCAGUGAGGAAUAUUGGUCAAUGGGCGUAAGCCUGAACCAGCCAAGUCGCGUGAGGGAUGAAGGUUCUAUGGAUCGUAAACCUCUUUUAUAAGGGAAUAAAGUGUGGGACGUGUCCUGUUUUGUAUGUACCUUAUGAAUAAGGAUCGGCUAACUCCGUGCCAGCAGCCGCGGUAAUACGGAGGAUCCGAGCGUUAUCCGGAUUUAUUGGGUUUAAAGGGUGGGGAGGCGGCCUUUUAAGGCAGCGGUGAAAGGCUGGGGCUCAACCAUAGAAUUGCCGUUGAAACUGGGGGGCUUGAGUAUGUGAGAGGCAGGCGGAAUGCGUGGUGUAGCGGUGAAAUGCUUAGAUAUCGCGCAGAACCCCGAUUGCGAAGGCAGCGUGCC